AAUUCGAUUUUUCGGUUCGGUUCGGUUUUAAUUUUAAAAAUUUGGUUAAUUCAGUUCGAUUUAUUCGGUUAAUUCGGUUUGGUUCGAUUUUUUUUCAAAACUGAAUAUAAGUUUGGUUUUAGCAAAAAUCGAAAACCAAAUAACCGAAUGCAUACCCCUACCUUCGUGUACUCAAGAACAUUCGACCUAAGAAUUUCUUGUCCUACUGUAACUACAAUCUAAAUGUAGUUCCAACUGAAAAUGUUAAAAUAUAC
rnacentral:lncRNA from 1 species